ACACAUCACAUAUUUGUUCAGGACUAUCCUCUCGAUAUCCUCUGUGUGCCUUAGAUGUUAGUGCUCAACAUCACUGAAUAAAUUACCACCUCUCAGGUCAGAAGGUCUGAUCAGAUUUGAAGAGCUGGUGUAUUUUUUGGCAUUGAUGAAGUGACCAGUUUCAUGGUUUCGGUGGUAGUUGUGGUCCGUAUCAUUGGACAUAACCAACAACUUUUCACAAGCGUUUAUGUCAGCGUCUUCAGACAACUUGCGGACCACCCACCCAGCAACAUAGAAGAGGAAUGCAGACGAGGAGGAACACAGAGGAAUUGUUGUGCAGGUAAAGCAUGGAAGAAAAGGUAA